AUUGAACGCUGGCGGCAUGCCUUACACAUGCAAGUCGAACGGUAACAGGUCUUCGGAUGCUGACGAGUGGCGAACGGGUGAGUAGUACAUCGGAACGUGCCCGAGAGUGGGGGAUAACGAAGCGAAAGCUUUGCUAAUACCGCAUACGAUCUCAGGAUGAAAGCAGGGGACCGCAAGGCCUUGCGCUCACGGAGCGGCCGAUGGCAGAUUAGGUAGUUGGUGGGAUAAAAGCUUACCAAGCCGACGAUCUGUAGCUGGUCUGAGAGGACGACCAGCCACACUGGGACCGAGACACGGCCCAGACUCCUACGGGAGGCAGCAGUGGGGAAUUUUGGACAAUGGGCGCAAGCCUGAUCCAGCCAUGCCGCGUGCAGGAUGAAGGCCUUCGGGUUGUAAACUGCUUUUGUACGGAACGAAAAGACUCCUUCUAAUAAAGGGGGUCCAUGACGGUACCGUAAGAAUAAGCACCGGCUAACUACGUGCCAGCCGCCGCAGUAAGAC
rnacentral:rRNA from 1 species